rnacentral:rRNA from 1 species
UCGAACGGAAUUGAAGAGCUUGCUUUUCACUUUAGUGGCGCACGGGUGAGUAAUAUAUAGCUAACCUGCCCUUUAGUGGGGGACAACAGUUGGAAACGACUGCUAAUACCCCAUACUCCUUCUUACUAUAAGGUAAGUCGGGAAAGAUUUAUCGCUAAAGGAUGGGGCUUUAUUGUAUCAGCUAGUUGGUGAGGUAAUGGCUCACCAAGGCUAUGACGCAUACCUGGUCUGAGAGGAUGAUCAGGCACACUGGAACUGAGACACGGUCCAGACUCCUACGGGAGGCAGCAGUGGGGAAUAUUGCACAAUGGACGCAAGUCUGAUGCAGCAACGCCGCGUGGAGGAUGACGCAUUUCGGUGUGUAAACUCCUUUUAUAGGGGAAGAUAAUGACGGUACCCUAUGAAUAAGCACCGGCUAACUCCGUG